UCAGGGUAGUGAGAGCAACGGAGGCACCGAGGAGAGCCACAAUGGAUAAACUAACGGGCCACGGGAGGACCGCGUUGAUUUAUAAUCCGUAGAGAGAUACCAUCUCGUAUGCCAUCCACGAGAGACAAGUGAAAUAACGGUUAAGGGAUCUCACAACCUCGGAAAUAAACCACCAAUUCGACAUGGAUCGGUUUGAGCAUCGACAGCGCCUUUUAGAAACCGGCUGCCUCCGCCUGCUUCGAAGGCGGAUUUGGGAUGAGAAGCGUUUAUCGUUUUCUGUACUGUCAGGUAAAUAAUAGGUGGAACCCAUACGAUACUCUGACAGUAUGUACGAGAAGGAGUCGGUUGCUAUCUUUGGUUAUCUAGCUGUAUGAGUGUUACUCGGCCGUCAUAAAGCUAGCUAACCGAAWGUAGGAAUGUCCUCCAAACCUGCGACUCGGACAGGAAUAAAUGGUGUCUGGGAGUAAAGACACAAAAUAACAUAAUUGUUAUGCAAUUACAGGCCAAUACCUCAGUGCCUUUCCGGUUGAUCCAGUGCCCUUGUCACUGCAGUGGCUGCCUGAGAUACACACUGAAACUCUGCAGUGUGAACAGCACACGCUGUCUACUAUAUGUGACUGCCAGCCAUUCACACCAGGUCUGGAUUGAGCYAGGGYAAAGUGGCACAGUCGUCACAAAAAAACAGAAAGCAGGAGGGGAAGAAAAAGGCCAACCRCCUUGUCCCUCUUCCCUUAAAUCUCCAUCACCGGAAGCCUUUGGUGCCAUCUGUGCCCCCGGAGAAAAYGACGGGCGAGAUGCCUCCACCCUGUGCCAACGGGGACAAAGGAGCUGCCAGUUAGAGCGGCCCCCCUCGCAGGCAGCCAGAGGACUCUGUGUGACUGACUGGGGCUGAGCUACGGAAGCCAUCUUGAUGGAGAGUCUUGCUGCUGCUCCUAAAAUGGCUGUGUUGGCAUGAGGUCCUGCAGGUGUUGACAACCUCCAGGCGAAGCCUCUUCCAUCAGCCCUGAGCCCUGGGCCCUGAGCCCUGGGCCCUGAACCCUGAGCCCUGGGCCCUUCCUCAUUGGCAUCCUCUCCAGUCAAACACUAAGAAAUGAGGGCACUGAAGAAUCGCCCCUAAAGUUAACAGACAAUGCUUGUAGAAAUUUACUGUAAGGACAAUGUUUGGAGAUAUUUACUGUAAGGACAAUGUCUGGAGAUAUUUACUGUAAGGACAAUGUUUGGAGAUAUUUACUGUAAGGACAAUGUUUGGAGAUAUUUGAAGACUUUGUUUGCAGAAGUUGCGCACAGAUUAUCUGCUGAUAUAUUGCACUUGGGUAAUCAAUGUUCUCUUCUCCCCGGCUGAGAGUGUAUAGUUUCAACAUAACUUUUAAUAUUACAGCAGAAUGUAAGACAAUGUGUGUAUGAUGUUAAAUAAAAGGGAUGUGAUCAACAUGUGUUCAUACCUUAAUGUAAAUAUGAUGAUGUGUGUGCGCGUGCGUGUGCGCGUGUGUGGUUUGUUCCCUAUUGUACUCUUUAGAGUACUCUGGAGUGUACUGGGCUUCAGAGAAGCACUACAGUGCCCUAAUGUGUGGGCUGCUUACAAGAGAAGCUCUCUGGAUGUCUAUCCUCUGUCAUGUGCAAUUAGUUACUUUAUGAAUAGAACUGACUACUCUAUGCAAAUAAAUGUGAAUGACUCACCCUCUGGCUGUAUUGCAAAUGUUUUUUAAUGUUUGACUGUCACAGUGAAAAGAAAGACAUUGUUUGGUGAAGAUUCCUUCCAUUUACUGUAUAUCCAUCAAAUGCUGCAUUUUUCCUAUUACAAAUAUUAUCUGCAUGUGUUCAUAGUGAUCAGGGAAUGUUCUACGUGAAAUGUGUUGGAUACAGUAUUGAAGCAGUCAGAUUAAUAGCUGUCUCAUUGCCUGAUUAUUAUUAUUAUCCUUAUUCAGAGAGAUAGACAGUUUUGAACGUACCUGCUAUAAAGAAAGGGACACAUACUUGUACACUAACGUCAUACAAAACAUGUUGUUGUAAUUGAGUUCUGACUUGUCAUGACUUCUGUGUUGUUUGAAUUGAAUGUGUAUACAGAAUAAAUAAUUCAACAGAUGUCUAAAAGA